rnacentral:rRNA from 1 species
AGAGUUUGAUCCUGGCUCAGGACGAACGCUGGCGGCGUGCCUAACACAUGCAAGUCGAGCGAUGAAGCCCUUCGGGGUGGAUUAGCGGCGGACGGGUGAGUAACACGUGGGUAACCUACCUCAAAGAGGGGGAUAGCCUCCCGAAAGGGAGAUUAAUACCGCAUAACAUUAGUUUUUCGCAUGAAGAACUAAUUAAAGGAGUAAUCCGCUUUGAGAUGGACCCGCGGCGCAUUAGCUAGUUGGUGAGGUAAAGGCUCACCAAGGCGACGAUGCGUAGCCGACCUGAGAGGGUGAUCGGCCACAUUGGAACUGAGAUACGGUCCAGACUCCUACGGGAGGCAGCAGUGGGGAAUAUUGCACAAUGGGCGAAAGCCUGAUGCAGCAACGCCGCGUGAGUGAUGAAGGCCUUCGGGUUGUAAAGCUCUGUCUU